GCAGCCGCACCAGUUGCGCUACAAGAGGGCGAAACAAUACUCGCUAAGUGUGCCGGGCUGUGCGGGCAUCUACAGGCAAGGGAAGUGCACAGGCACCUACCUGAUAGUAGCGGAGACAGGACACAGAGGCGCGCCGUACACGCCACGCCAAACAAUUCACCGCACCAACGCCAACCGGAAGUCACUCGCCGGAAGCAUAAAGGGCGCACGAUCUCAUCCUAGGUGUAUUUGUACGCCCCUCGGCCUGUCAAUCACUGCCGGCUCAAUCACGAUUCGGCUACAUAGUGCACUCUCAGGGACUAGCUCUCUCUCGCUCUCUCUCUCUGAGUGAAUGGUGGGAGUGAGCGUGGUCAGGGUGAGUGGUUUUCUAACUUUUCCGACUUAUUCUAUCCUCUUCUUUAUUGCUGCUUGGUGGUUUUUUGUUGAUGUGGCAAUACGUAGUUCAUUGUCCUGGUAACUGUCAGGUGUGCUGCAGUUCCACCCAAUCACCGUGGGAGACUGCCACAUAAAGGCGGGCGUAAAGCACCUGUCAGCCCUUUGCUUGCUGGAGGCUGGGUCUUGUCACUCCUGUGCUUCCUCCAUUUCCGUGUUCGGGUGGUUACAGGUGGGCUGCCGGCUGCACUUCUCACGUAUGUCGCCCAUCCAGUACUAAUGUUAUUGUUUUAUAAAGGUCCACCUGGGUGUCGCUGCUGGCUGCGCACUGUUCACCACGAAGACACACUGGGUGACACAUUGGAGGACACACAGGAAGACACAUUGGGUGACACACAGGAAGACACUCUGGAGGACACACUGGGAGACACACAGAGCACACAGGGUGAUGAGGAGGCCGGGGAGACAGUGAUUACUCCUUCUCUCGUGUAAGAAAGUUUUUAGCUGACACAAAAGGAGAGAAGGGAGUGAACAUUGAGGAGUUCUUCCCUAACCUGCAUCUCUUCGGUCUGUCGGUGAGGUCUCUGAUGAAGAACAAAGGAGACCUCGGUCAUCCUGCUUUUAUUGAAAGAAAAUUUUAACAAAAAUCGAUUUCAGCUAGAGAAGGAAAACGAUGGAUGAGUGUGUUUAUUUUUUCUUUCGUUAGUUUGGUGUGUGUGUGUUUUUCUUUGUUUGCAGCUCUUUUUUAAUCAUGUGUGACAUCAAACUGGGCUCUUUAAACAUUAACGGUGCUCGUCAGGACACAAAGAGAGCUGCACUUUUUAAUUUGAUCCAAACUUAACAACUGAAUGUCACUUUUAUUCAGGAGACACACAGCACCUCUGACAUUGAGUGUGACUGGAGAAGAGAGUGGAAUGGGGAGAUGGUUUUAAGUCACAGGGACAGUAACAGUGGGGGGGGGUCGGGAUUCUCUUCUCCAGAGAAUUCACACCUUUUAACUUCACUGUAGACGAGGUCAUUCCAGGCCAACUUUUAAAAGUGACUGCUCAGUUUGAGAGGAUGAAACUGGUUUUUAUAAAUGUAUAUGUAACCGGGUGGUUAUUGGCUGUAUAAAUGUAUAUAUUGUAUUUCCCUUCUGUGUCUUUUAGUUAUGUUGCAGCAGGUCUGGCGAUUGCAGCAGGUGUGUGUCACGCCCCUUACCGGCACCUGUAGUGCAGCCGCGUCAUGGGCUGCUAAUGCAGACCUGUUCAUAUAGUCCCGUGGUUGUUCAGUCUCUCUCUCUCCUCUGCCAAGUAUGUGCCAUGUGUUCGCUCUCCAGGUUGGCGUGUAUGCCGUGAUGGUGUGUGUGUGUCCCCUUCCGGUUAGCCACCGCUGCCGCCGCUAGCUUCUGACGGCUUCAUUAUUUAUUGGUGCAGGCUACAGCCCGCCAUGCAGCCUGCCUGGCGUUAGGUUGCUGUUGUUGCCCUGCCUUGCCUCUUGCCUUUAUCUCCACGUUUUGUUUCUUUUUGUUGCCUUGCUCAUAGUUGCUCUGCCCUUGUCAGUUAGACGCUCGUUUUAAAGUAGUGUACUGUAGUUCAAGACUGACUGACCGCGACUCCUUAGUGGGGGGGGUGGGAAGUAGCACAGCUUUGAGGACCUGCAAAAGUUAUGCAUGUAGCAUUAUGGUUUUGUUUUCUUUUGUGUUGAUUUGAGUUUGUUUGAUAUUUUGGUUUCUUUUCUCUUUGUUUGCUGUGCAGGACCUCAGCUUAGUUAUUUCCUCAGUCUCAACUUAAGCUGAGUCUGUGGUACAGAUUAAUAUUGUGCUCUUUGGAAAUAAAAAUAACUAUAAUUGUUUUUUACAGUAGAUAAGUAACUUAAAUAAAUUAAUGUUUCCAUUUGUGACUAAAAUAAAACUUGUUAAACUUUCUAUAAACCGUGCCUGUAUUCAUUUGUGUACCGACCUGUGCUCUGAGAAAGUAAAGUUUGAAAAAGAGUAAAUUCUUUAGGUGCAAGUCCUAAGGUGGCGUUGUUGGUGUAACUCCCUAGAUCAUCCUUUUAUCUAUCGCCCCCACCACAUUUUGGCGUUGUCGGCAGGAUGAUCACAAUCAGGCACGGUGUAGUUUUAUUGUCGUAACUUUAUUUUAAGCGAAGCAGAGCAAGCUUUAGUGGUUUAGCAGGCAAAGUUUGUUUUUUUUCUUUUGUUUGGAGGCAAGGCAGUGGCUCGGGCUGCGGACCGCCCUCCAGGCCGACAGCCGAGGUUCUCCAGGAUGUCGCAGGAACCGCUGGACCUCCAGGCCCUCCAGGGUCGGAUGGAGCAGCUCCAGGCCGAAAAUGACCGCCUACGACGGGAUCGGGAUGCGGCCCAGGCGGGCUCCAGUUCAAGUGGACUGUUGGUGGACUCUGCCGCACCUGAGCGUGUGGUGUAUCUCCCACGCGAGAGACGAUGUCCUGUCUUCAGAGGCAGCCACGGUAUUGGUAUCGAUGAGUGGAUGCUUGUAUGCUUGUUAUGCGCCAAUGACACCAGAACAAAUUCCUUGU